UGUUUCCUACGGGAGGCAGCAGUGAGGAAUAUUGGUCAAUGGACGAGAGUCUGAACCAGCCACGUAGCGUGAAGGAUGACUGCCCUAUGGGCUGUAAACUUCUUUUAUAUGGGAAUAAAACGUUCCACGUGUGGGAUUUUGUAUGUACCAUAUGAAUAAGGAUCGGCUAACUCCGUGCCAGCAGCCGCGGUAAUACGGAGGAUCCGAGCGUUAUCCGGAUUUAUUGGGUUUAAAGGGAGCGUAGGUGGAUUGUUAAGUCAGUUGUGAAAGUUUGCCGCUCAACCGUAAAAUUGCAGUUGAAACUG
rnacentral:rRNA from 1 species